UACAUGGGGUGCAAACGUUGCUCGGAAUUAUUGGGCGUAAAGCGCGCGUAGGCGGUUACUUAAGUCGGAUGUGAAAGCCCUCGGCUUAACUGAGGAAGUGCACCCGAAACUGAGUAGCUAGAGUACGAAAGAGGGUCGCGGAAUUCCCGGUGUAGAGGUGAAAUUCGUAGAUAUCGGGAGGAACACCCGUGGCGAAGGCGGUUCUCUGGGACGGUACUGACGCUGAGACGCGAAAGCGUGGGGAGCGAACAGG
rnacentral:rRNA from 1 species